AUUGAACGCUGGCGGCAGGCUUAACACAUGCAAGUCGAGCGGGGUGAUGGUGCUUGCACUAUCACCUAGCGGCGGACGGGUGAGUAAUGCUUAGGAAUCUGCCUAUUAGUGGGGGACAACAUCUCGAAAGGGAUGCUAAUACCGCAUACGUCCUACGGGAGAAAGCAGGGGAUCACUUGUGACCUUGCGCUAAUAGAUGAGCCUAAGUCGGAUUAGCUAGUUGGUGAGGUAAUGGCUCACCAAGGCAACGAUCGGUAGCCGGCCUGAGAGGGCGGACGGCCACACUGGGACUGAGACACGGCCCAGACUCCUACGGGAGGCAGCAGUGGGGAAUUGUUCGCAAUGGGCGCAAGCCUGACGACGCAACGCCGCGUGGAGGAUGAAGGUCUUCGGAUUGUAAACUCCUGUUGACCGGGACGAAUGUCCUUGCGGUAAACAGCCGCGAGGGGUGACGGUACCGGUUGAGGAAGCCCCGGCUAACUCUGUGCCAGCCGCCGCAGUAA
rnacentral:rRNA from 1 species